rnacentral:rRNA from 1 species
CAACGCGAAGAACCUUACCUGGUCUUGACAUCCACAGAAGAAUCCAGAGAUGGAUUUGUGCCUUCGGGAACUGUGAGACAGGUGCUGCAUGGCUGUCGUCAGCUCGUGUUGUGAAAUGUUGGGUUAAGUCCCGCAACGAGCGCAACCCUUAUCCUUUGUUGCCAGCGGUUAGGCCGGGAACUCAAAGGAGACUGCCAGUGAUAAACUGGAGGAAGGUGGGGAUGACGUCAAGUCAUCAUGGCCCUUACGACCAGGGCUACACACGUGCUACAAUGGCGCAUACAAAGAGAAGCGACCU